AGCAGCAGCCGCGGGAAUACGUAGGGUGCAAGCGUUAAUCGGAAUUACUGGGCGUAAAGCGUGCGCAGGCGGUUAUAUAAGACAGAUGUGAAAUCCCCGGGCUCAACCUGGGAACUGCAUUUGUGACUGUAUAGCUAGAGUACGGCAGAGGGGGAUGGAAUUCCGCGUGUAGCAGUGAAAUGCGUAGAUAUGCGGAGGAACACCGAUGGCGAAGGCAAUCCCCUGGGCCUGUACUGACGCUCAUGCACGAAAGCGUGGGGAGCAAACAGGAUUAGAUACCCCUGUAGUCCCUGUCUCUUAUAA
rnacentral:rRNA from 1 species